rnacentral:rRNA from 1 species
CAGCCGCCGCGGUAAUACGUAGGGUGCAAGCGUUAAUCGGAAUUACUGGGCGUAAAGCGUGCGCAGGCGGUUUGUUAAGACAGAUGUGAAAUCCCCGGGCUCAACCUGGGAACUGCAUUUGUGACUGGCAGGCUAGAGUAUGGCAGAGGGGGGUGGAAUUCCGCGUGUAGCAGUGAAAUGCGUAGAUAUGCGGAGGAACACCGAUGGCGAAGGCAGCCCCCUGGGCCAAUACUGACGCUCAUGCACGAAAGCGUGGGGAGCAAACAGGAUUAGAUACCCCAGUAGUCCCUGUCUCUUAUAA